rnacentral:rRNA from 1 species
UACGGAGGGUGCAAGCGUUAUCCGGAUUCACUGGGUUUAAAGGGUGCGUAGGCGGGCUUGUAAGUCAGUGGUGAAAGCCCGGGGCUUAACUCCGGAACUGCCGUUGAUACUGCAAGCCUUGAGUACAGUUGAGGUGGGCGGAAUACAUCGUGUAGAGGUGAAAUUCUUAGAUAUGAUGUAGAACACCGAUUGCGAAGGCAGCUCACUAAAGUGUAACUGACGCUGAGGCACGAAAGCGUGGGGAUCAAACAGG